GUCCAUAGCUUCCUUCCUGCCGCUUAAUCCGCCAUUCCGAAUUAGUUCGUGGCACGCGUCGCAACCGAGCUUCGUCCUCUCGUUAAUUGCAGUUAAUUAGAAUAUUUUAUCCAACGUACGCUCUAAUUUUGUAUAUCGAUCGAACGUCGAAAACGCUAUUUCCACGGGUGAAUUUAUUAACAUCGAUCACGCUCAACUACGAAAUAUAUUCUGCUGCGUUCCUUAACCUAACAACCAUACAAGCCAUCGUUAUUUUCGAUUAUACAAUGGAAGAACUACGACGUUCGCAUUUUCGUCAUCAAUUUUACUUAUUUACAAUGAGAAAUGAUGUUGGACACACGACAACGACGACUGAUCGAAACUUUACAAGCACGUGGGGAAGCCAUUGGAAAGAUGACGUAAUAUGUACGUACGACGGUCCACAUCUUUCUUGCUGCCGCUUACUCCGCCAUUCUGAAUUAUUUCGUGGCGUUUGUCGCAAGCCAGCUUCGUCCUCUCGUUGACUGCAGAAUGGGAGAGGUACGACGUCUGGAUUUUCGUCUUCAAUUUUACUUAUUUACAAUGAGAAAUGGUGUUGGACACACGACGACGAGUGAUCGAAACAACAAACACGCGGGGAAGCCAUUGGAAUGAUGACGUAACGCGUACGCGCGACGGUCCAUAGAUUCCUUCCUGCCGCUUAAUCCGCCAUUCUAAAUUGUCUCGUGCCAAGCGUUGCACUCGAGCUUCGUCCUCUCGUUAAUUAGAAUUAUUAGUUAAUUAGAAUAUUUUAUCUAACGUUCACUCAGAUUUUAUAUAGCGACGAAUACCAAAAAUGCGAUUUCCGCGAGUGAAUUUAUUAAUAACGAUCACGCACAAUUGCGAAAUAUAACUUAUUCUACUGCGUUCCUUAACCUAACAUAAUCAUCUAAGCCAUCGUUCUUUCGAUUAUAGGAUGGAAGAGGUACGAUGUUCGGAUUAUCAAUUUUACUUACGUACGAUAAGAAGUGAUAUUCGAUACAGGACGACGAGUGGGCGUAGAUUCUGUAAAUUUGUUCGUCAGCGUUAACAACACAGUGUGGCCCAUGUUCCUAGAAAGAAGCAAGAUUGAUUUGGCUAGAGUUCAACAAAGUAGACGUCUUCCGUUUAAGUUUAUACAUUCAUUCUUCGAUUAAGCAGUGUUCUUUCAGCGAAACUUCUUUUAGUAAUUUGCCGUCAGAGUAUAUUUUUUGUUCGAUUGUACAUUUUUUGGGAAGUGCGUUUUAUAUACGUGGAAUAGUUGAUAAUUCGGAAUUCAUUCAAAUUGAUUAACGUUGAUGUAACAUUAUUUCUUUAAUUUUACAUUAGUGGAUUCUACAUGGAUUCUUUCAACCUUCAUCGUCGUCAUGUGAUUAAUAAUCGACAUCAUCAGGAUAGGGAGGAGUUGUGCACGGUCGUCACCGCGCAGUUGAAUCUUUCUAGACGCAACCCACUUUUUAUCGAGCACUUGUUUAUGGUCGAGAUUUGUCUCGUACCAUUUUCUGUGCAUUUACGCUGGUUGCUCUGCCUUCGUCCAGCAUUAUAAAAUAACCGAGGACAUUCUACUCUCCUCCUUAUUUUUUAGACCUGCUUCAGAUGUCGUUAAUUGAUCUCACGUCGAGGACGAUCGAUGGGAAAAUCUAUGUACGCGAACGCGCUUAAUCUACAUUAUUUUAACGAGUCGUCGUCCGUCUUGGAAUAUCACUGCGAAAUAAAAAUUGUAGACUUUUCGUUGAUAGUACAUGACAGAACGAAUACUGCUUAAAUCACGGAGUGGAUGUAUCAUUCGACGGAUCGUUUCCUGAUUGCUGUAAUGCGGUUGACAGUUCUUUAGCCCACGUGGGGAAGCCAUUGCAAAGGUGACGUAAUGCGCAAGUGCGGCGGUCCACAGCUCCCUUGCUGCCUCAGAAUCCACCAUUUUGAAUAAUUAUUGGCACGUGUUACGACCAAGCUUUUUUCUCUCGUUGAUUGCAGAAUGGAAGAGGUAUGACGUCCAGAUUUUCGUCAUCAAUUUUACUUAUUUACAAUAAUAAAUGGUGUUCGACACACAACGACUGGAUGUAGACGUGAUUUCUUUCGUUAUUGUUGACAUUACAUCGUGGCUAGUUUUCUUAAAAAUAAGCAAGAUGAAUUUAGUUACAUUCGAACAGAAUUGACAUCUUGACAGUACGAACGCUACUUAAAUCGUGGAAGGAAGCGUUCCUUGAUCUAACAACCAGCUAAGGAAUCAUUAUUUUCGAUGAUAGAAAGAAAGAAGUAUGAAGUUCAAAAUUUUCGUCAUCAGUUUUACUUAUCUAUGAUAAGCAAUGGUAUUGGACACAGGACGACAACUGAUAAGCAAUAGUUGACAUAUAUUAUUAUUUAUUUUCACGUUACCCUUUACGAUAACGUUUAGCUAAUUCUACAUUUAUUUUUUCAGGGUAUAGGCAUUGCGAUUUCGUCCGUUAUUGUUAACAAUGCAUCGUGGCCCGUGUUCCUUGAAAUAAGCAUGGUGAAUUUAGUUACAGUCGAACAGAAUUGACAUCUGUUUACACAUUCAUUCUUCGAUUAAACAGUGUUCUAUUAACGAUACUUUUACAUCGGAGUAUAUUUUUCUUCCGAUUACAUUUUUCAUUUAAUAUACAUCGAGUAGCUGAUAAUUCAAAGUUUAUUCAAGUUGGAUAACGUUAUCGUAACUUCAUUCCUUUAAUCGAUGAAAAAAUCUAUGUAAGCGAACGCGUCUUAAAUAACACUAUUUCAACGAAUCAUAUGGUCUCUCUUGAAAUAUCGCUGCGAAAUAGAAACGAUAGGCUUUUCGUCGAUAGUAUACGACAGAACGAACACUGCUUAAAUCGAAAUAUAUGUGUUAAUUGGGUCGUGGAUUCCCGGAUAGCAGUUCCUAAGUAUCACGCUCGUUAGAGCAAGAUGGUUCUUUAUUCUCUUGUCUGAUAAGGAAUACUUAACAUUUUGAUAUUUUUAUUAUAACACUAUUUUUAUUAACUUUGUUAAUUUUUUUUUUUUUUCUUUUAGGAAGCCUAUGUUGUAAUUUCGUUCUACUGUUUGGAUACGGAUAAAAGAACAAUUCAACGCUCUAGUUGGAAAUGGUCUUUGUAAAAUUGCGACUCACGGAAAGCCUCCUUCCUCUAGGAUCUAUCAUGAAUAUGAAGAUGAGAGAGGAAAGAAAAGGAGCCAGGAAGAUGCGAUGGAAGCAAUAACGAAGGAUGGAAUCUUGAAGAAUCUUCCAUUGGGUUAAAAUCAGCAAGAAAACAACGCUUCCUUCAUUUUACCGAACCGAAAGAAGACUCGCCUCUCCUUCGUGCGUAUUGCUUCUUUAAAUCUGCUUAAGCUCCAACGUUCUACGUAAUUCUCGGCGAUUUUGCGCACCCCUAAGCGUUUCUGCGUGACACCCUAAGCGAUCCUGCGAUACCCUGAGCAUUUCUGCGAUACCCUGAGCGUUUCUGCGACACCCUGAGCGUUUCUGCGACACCCCGAGCGUUUCUGCGACACCCCGAGCGUUUCUGCGACACCCCGAGCGUUUCUGCGACACCCCGAGCGUUUCUGCGACACCCCGAGCGUUUCUGCGACACCCCGAGCGUUUCUGCGACACCCCGAGCGUUUCUGCGACACCCCGAGCGUUUCUGCGACACCCCGAGCGUUUCUGCGACACCCCGAGCGUUUCUGCGACACCCCGAGCGUUUCUGCGACACCCCGAGCGUUUCUGCGACACUACCUUGAGCGUACCUUGGAUACCCUAAGCGAUCUUGCAUGAUACCCUGAGCGUUUCUGCGACACCCUCAGCGUACCUGUGCAAUCCCUAACGUCGUAUUCUGUUCAAUUCUCAGCGUUUUGCGUAACCACCAGCAUUUCAAACGAUUCCCCUGCUUUAGUCUUGCGCAUAAUUGCGAUGUUUUACGAAAAAUUACAAGAUAGAAACAAAUUUGUUAGAAUCAUUGUUAUAAUAUUGUUGGAGUUUAUAGAGCGUUGAAAAAAUGAAACUUCAAUUGGAAGGUAGUACAUCAGUUGAUUUUUUCUUUCCGGAAUGUUAACAUAAAAUUGUUUUAUACUUCACAAGAUAUUACGUGCGGUGCAACGUUUAAGCGGUUGUAUUAUUGUUUAAAUCUUAUUUUAUAUCGACCAAUCGUAUAUUAUAGAUUCUUUAAAUAAUUGUAAAGUGAUAGAAAGCAUACAUAAACUUGGGUGCGUUAAGAAAACUAUUAUUUAAGUAUAAUUUUAUAUCGAACAAACGUAUAUUGUAAACCGUUUAAAUAAUUGUAUAGUGAUAAGAAGCGUAUAUAAACAAUGGUGCGUUGAGAAAAAUAUUUAAAUAUAAUUUUAACUCGAGUAAACGUAUAGUAUAGAAUGUUCAAAUAAUUAGUUAAACUAAUAGAAAGUAUACAUAAAUUCUGAUGCGUUGAGAGAAUUAUCGUUUAAUUAUAAUUUUAUACCGAACAAACGUAUAUUGUAAAAUUGUUUAAAUAAUUGUAAAGUGAUAGAAAGCAUACAUAAAUUUGAUGCGUUAAGAGAAUUUUAGACCACCGUUGGGCGAAUCGAAAACCGUCGUCCAGUAUUUAUCCGUAACAACAAACAUCUUUUUAGACAAUUCUUAGGAUAUCGCGUGACCCCAGCUUCGCGAAUAAUUGAAAUGCUCAUAUACUAAAAAAGAAAAAAUAUUUUUAUCAUUGUAAUAAGAAAGCGUCGAAAAAAAAGGAAGGCAGUAUGUAAGCAGAUUUCUGUUCUGCGAAACGUUCGAUUAAAAUUAUUUUCUACGUACUACGAGCGGUAUAAAGCUUGAGCGGCGGGGUUGUAUUCUGUAAAUAUUAGUUUGAUACUACCGAGCGUACAUAUGUAGCGUACAUUGCUUAAAUGAUUGUAAAACGACAAAAAAUAAAAAUGAUCUAGGUUUAGCGCGGUUCAACGCGGUCCAACGCGUGUACCGGAAAUUUUAGGGCAUGGUAGAGCGUUUCAACUACCGUGAAUCCAUUCGUGCGUAAUUAAGCGUGUUGCGUAAUUCCGAACAGAUUGGCGUAACCCUUAGAAAUAUUGCGUAAACCCCUAACCCUUAUUUAGGUAAAUUCUCUGGCUCUGCCAGACGCAACGCAGCGAUUUCGCCCACUACGUGGUUUGGCGUAAGUAUCCAUUUGGCAAGGUAUGGUUUUUUUUUACACGUAAGUCCUAUCGAUUUUUCGCAACGUCCGACGUGGACACCCAGAGUUUUGUCUUUUUCAGGUUAUCUGCAACCUCGGAGUUAUUUAUUUACCUACAUACUAUCGAGAUUACUGAAGCGAUGGUAUUUUUUUUGCAUAAUGUUAAGGGCAUUGCGUCGUUUUGAACGAAUGCGCGUAAUCAGUAGUUUCUUUUUUUUUUUUGUAUGAAGCCCACCGUAUCUAUAUAAUCCUUACAAAUUUUGUGUAAACCUUUGCGUGUAUUCAGCCGAACUUCUGUGGUCUAACUUCGGUGUAAUCCAGACGCGACCCAACGAUUUGCAGUAAGUAUUUUUCUCACUUAAUGCCUUUAUGUUCGUUCCGUAAUUCUACGCGUGUUGCGUAAAUUGCAUAGUAUCUGCAACCCGCAGCUCAUUUUCCUAGGUACCAGCGAAGUUAUUUAAACUGCGGCAUUUUUUUUUCAUAGUUCGGGAUAUUUUCGUUUUAUCCGAAGAAUCCGCGUUUUUAUAUAGCCUAACGUCUCUGUGUAAACCAUGGCGUGUAUUUAGCUUCAUUUUAGCGUGUCUACUUAACUCUAACGUUUCCACAUUAUCACUUAGUUAUCGACCAUAUUUUUUUUUUUUAACGUGAUCUCUAUUCGUCGCGUAAUUCUUCGCGUAUAUAGUAAUUUGGAGGGUAUUUAGAGCCCUAGCUUAUUUUCCAUGAUACUGGAUGGGUUACUUACGCGACAGAAUAUUUGCAUAGUCCCAGGGGUACUUCCGAUGAAUCGUUGCAAUGUCCAACUUCUUUACAACGCCAAGCGAUUUUGCGAAACCUUUGCACGAUUUGAAAGCCCUAGUGUAACGUAGCGUAACGUAUUUUUACAUAACGAUCCCGAGAUUUGUCGAAAGUACUUUUUUCUUUUUUCAUAAUGCUUGUCGGAGGUUUUUCUUUUUGACAUUCUUAACAGCUGCGUUAUUCGUAGAAUACUCUAAGCAGCUUAUUUUCGUAGAUACUAGCUAGGUUAUUGAAACGACAGCAUUUUUCUUUUUUCUUUUUUAUAAUUCGUAGGGCACUCGUUAGAUCCGACGAAUCUGCGUAAAUACUAGGGUUUUACUCGUAGAUGACCGUGUACUUUCAUGUGUAUCUGCAACUAUCAGCUUAUUAAUCGAAGAUAUUACCGAGGUUAUAUGAUCGACUGCAUUUAUUUUGCAUAAUCUGUGGGGCACUCGCGUUAUUUCCGAAGAAUCUGCGUAAAUACUAGGGUUUUCAGGAAAUGCAGCGUUUCUGUGUAAUCCUUGUAGAUUUGGCGUCGGUAAUAGGGCGUAUUUAGGUAGCCUCCGAGAAUGCGGCGUAAUCCGAUUGUUUCCGCGUUACCACCCUGUGAUUUCGCGUAAGUACUUGCAUUUAUACGUAAUACUUGUGUAAAUUCCUGUCGGUUUUCGAUAACUCGUGGAUGACCGUGUAGUUCCCGUGUAUUUACAACUGUCGGCUUAUUAAUCGAAGAUAUUACCGAGGUUAUAUGAUCGACUGCAUUUUUUUUUUUGCAUAAUCUGUGGGGCACUCGCGUUAUUUCCGACGAAUCUGCGUAAAUACUAGGGUUUUCAGGAAAUGCAGCGUUUCUGUGCAAUCCUUGUAGAUUUGGCGUCGGUAAUAGGGCGUAUUAGGUAGCCUCCGAGAAUGCGGCGUAAUCCGAUUGUUUCCGCGUUACCACCCUGUGAUUUCGCGUAAGUACUUGCAUUUAUACGUAAUACUUGUGUAAAUUCCUGUCGGUUUUCGAUAACUCGUGGAUGACCGUGUAGUUCCCGUGUAUUUACAACUGUCGGCUUAUUAAUCGAAGAUAUUACCGAGGUUAUAUGAUCGACUGCAUUUUUUUUUUUUGCAUAAUCUGAGGGGCACUCGCGUUAUUUCCGACGAAUCUGCGUAAAUACUAGGGUUUUCAGGAAAUGCAGCGUUUCUGUGUAAUCCUUGUAGAUUUGGCGUCGGUAAUAGGGCGUAUUUAGGUGGCCUCCGAGAAUGCGGCGUAAUCUGAUUCUUUCCGCAUUACCACCCUGUGAUUUCGCGUAAGUACUUGCCUUUGUACGUAAUACUUGUGUAAAUUCCUGUCGGUUUUCGAUAACUCGUAGAUGACCGUGUAGUUCCCGUGUAUUUACAACUGUCGGCUUAUUAAUCGAAGAUAUUACCGAGGUUAUUUUAUCGACUGCAUUUUUUUUUUGCAUAAUCCGCGGGGCACUCGUUAUAUCCGACGAAUUUGCGUAACUACUAGCAUUUUCAUAAAGUCCGGCAUUUCUGCGUAACCUACAGAUUUUACAAAAAUCUAAGUACGCAAUCUACAGCGUGGGACAUAACCCCACUGUCUUCGCUUUACCAUCCGGUGAUUAGAAGUAUUUGUCCGUUUUCUUUUUAGGUAAUCCCUCGGUUUUUCAAUAAUUCCUAACGUACCGACGUAGUUCCUAGGUUUAUCAGCAAUACCCAGGUUAUUUUCUUAGAUACUAGCGAGGUUACUUAAACGAUAUUUUUGUCCUCCGAGCUUUCUCCGUAAUAUCAUUUUUUUCCGCAUAACCAUCUCGUGAUUUCGCUCAAGUAUAUUGUUUUUCCGUAAUGGAUGUCGAUUUUUCCUAACUCCUAGAUGACCGUGUAAUUUCCAGGAUAUCUGUAACGAUCAGCUUAUUAAUUCUAGAUAUUAACGAGGUUAUUUAGUCGAUAGCAUUUUUGAAUAGUCCCUGAGGCGGUUGCAUUAUUUACGUAGACUAUACGAACUACCAGCAUCUUUAUAAAGCUCAUCGUUUCUGGGUAACCCUUACAGAUUUUGGCUUAUCCGACUGGCGAUUUGAAGUAAGUAUUUGUGCUUUAUUUUUUAUUCUUAUGUAAUAUCUGUCUUCAAUAAUUACUAAUAUACCGACGUAAUUUCUAGGUUAUCCGUCGUACCCAUCUUAUUUCCCUAGAUUCUAGAGAGGUUACUUAAACGACAACAUCGUUGCAUAAUCCCAGGGGCAUAUUCGUUAUUUCCUACGAAUCAAGUAACGACCAGCGUCUUCAUAAAGUGCAGCAUUUCUGUAUAUCCUCAUAGAUUUGUCGUCAAUCCUAGAACGUAUUUAGGUGGCCUCCGAGCGUCAGGCGUAACGUCAUAGUGUCCGCAUAAGCGAAUAAAUUUGUUUUUACCUAACGCUUGUCAAAAUGCUUGUCAAUUUUGCAUAAUUCCUAGAUGUCCGUGUAAUUUCCACGGUAUCUUCAUCCACCAACUUACUAAUCCUAGAUAUUAACGUAGUUAUUUAAUAAACAGCAAUUAGCAUAGUCCGUGGGGCGUUUGCGUUAUUAUCGAAAAAUCGGCGUAACCACCAGCAUUUCCAUAAAGCUCGUUUCUAUGUAACCCUUACAAAUUUUGCAAAAAUUCUAGUACGUAUUAUGGUGGUUUACAGUGGUUCGACGUAAUUCCACAGUAAUCGCAUAAAAACCAUUCAGUGAUAUGAAGUAAUUAUUUUUCUUAUGUUCCUCUCUCUUAGGUAAUCGAUUGGUUUUUCCUGUUUAUCUGUAAUGCCCAGCUUAUUUUUCUAAAUAUUACGUAGAAUCGAUAAAUGACAACAUAUUUGCAUAAUCCCAGGGGCACCGCCAUAUGGGUGUGAACGUAAGUGUGUACGUACGAAUGAGAGCGUAGAGUGCCUCUACCGGCCAUUUUCUAAAACAGGUAGCAGGCCUCCGUAAUAUCCGUGUAAUCACUCUCAGACUGAUUUUAGUGUCUAAUAUUUGUUUCAUUUUAUUGUAUACUAUUUGCCUGAUUUUAUUGUAUAAUAUUUGUCUCAUUUUAAUAUAUACUAUUUGUUUAAUUUUAUUGCAUGAUAUUUGUGUGAUUUUAUUAUAUAAUAUUAAACAGAGGAGAAACUAUAAGUAGACAUCAGAAUUUGAAUGUUUGUGAUUGAUCAUUUAUACGACGCCUUUGAAUAAUCGUCUAAAAAGAAAACGGUUACAUCAAGCCUGCGUCUUUAUUGAAUAAGAGACACGACUGAGCUUCGAUGACAUUCCGCCUGCAGUACGUCUGAUUUGCGUUCAGUAUUCUAUCAGACUUCCUUCUGUUUCAUGUUAAAUUAUGCGGCAUAAGCUGUGGAAAGAUUGUAAAAGAGACGUAUAAGAACUGUAUGAGAGUUGUGCAAAAGUUGUGUGAGAUGUCCAAAAUGUGUGUAAAAGUUGUGUGAGACUUACAUAAAAGGUGCGUACAACUUGUGAGAAAAUUCUAUAAAAGUUGUAGAAAAAGUAUUAUCUGAAGGUUGUGUCUGAGGUUGUGUCUGAGGUUGUGUCUGAAGGUUGUGUUUGAAGGUUGGGUCUGAGGUUGUGUCUGCAGGUUGUGUCUGAAGGUAGUGUCUGAAGGUUGGGUCUGAGGUUGCGUCUGAAGGUUGUGUCCGAAGGUUGCGUCCGAAGGUUGUGUCUGAGGUU